GUAAACGAUGAGUGCUAAGUGUUGGAGGGUCUCCGCCCUUCAGUGCUGCAGCUAACGCAUUAAGCACUCCGCCUGGGGAGUACGACCGCAAGGUUGAAACUCAAAGGAAUUGACGGGGGCCCGCACAAGCGGUGGAGCAUGUGGUUUAAUUCGAAGCAACGCGAAGAACCUUACCAGGUCUUGACAUCCUUUGACCACUCUAGAGAUAGAGCUUCCCCUUCGGGGGCAAAGUGACAGGUGGUGCAUGGUUGUCGUCAGCUCGUGUCGUGAGAUGUUGGGUUAAGUCCCGCAACGAGCGCAACCCUUAUUGUUAGUUGCCAUCAUUCAGUUGGGCACUCUAGCAAGACUGCCGGUGACAAACCGGAGGAAGGUGGGGAUGACGUCAAAUCAUCAUGCCCCUUAUGACCUGGGCUACACACGUGCUACAAUGGGAAGUACAACGAGUCGCGAAGUCGCGAGGCUAAACUAAUCUCUUAAAGCUUCUCUCAGUUCGGAUUGUAGGCUGCAACUCGCCUACAUGAAGCCGGAAUCGCUAGUAAUCGCGGAUCAGCACGCCGCGGUGAAUACGUUCCCGGGCCUUGUACACACCGCCCGUCACACCACGAGAGUUUGUAACACCCGAAGUCGGUGAGGUAACCUUUUCGGAGCCAGCCGCCUAAGGUGGGAUAGAUGAUUGGGGUGAAGUCGUAACAAGGUAGCCAAGGGCGGAAUUCGCGGC
rnacentral:rRNA from 1 species